CCAACAGUCUGAGGGACUGUGAAUCAGCCCCCUCUUUAAAACGUUGGAGGACCCCUGCUCUACAACGUCAGACAAAUGGCUGUCCAGAAUAUUGGGGUGCAUCCCAAGGUCUCCUCACCUCUGAGAAGAAAACCUUCCCGAUGGUCUUCUCUCUUAGAUCGGGAUGGGGCAGGAUCAGGAAGAAAAUGGCUUCGAACAAACCAUCAGGAGUCACCAUCAUGUCCCAGCAUCUAACCUUCUCCAACUGACUGAACUCCUCCUUAUAGCCGGCACAUAAUAUUAAAUUUUUGAUGGCUUGCACUGCAUUGCUAAAUCAAAGAAAG